CAAUCGAACUUCACCCUCACCUCCCUGAAAAUCACAAUCUAAAAAAAACCCUGAUUUCACAAUUCAGUUUUCUAAACCCUUUGUCGCCGUUAACACCAUCUCUUUGCAAUCUAUUAAAAGGGGCACCUCCUUGAGGAUCGUUAUGGCAAUGAAAAAUGGAGAUCUAGAUAGCAAACAUAUUGGGUAAUCCAUUUUUGGUUGCUAACUUGGAUUUUGGAAUCCCUUGGCUACACGAUGCUUCUAAAAUGUGUUAUAGAACUUCCAGGAAAAUAAAGAGAAGUAAUGGAUGUGUUUGAUAUCCAAGCCAAGUCUGACGAUGAAUUACUUCAAAAGAUGCAUAAAGGUAGACCAUUAGAAGCAACCAUUGGCAAUUGGAAAUGUGAUUAAAACACCUCAAAAAGCAAGAGCAAUUGAAGUUGUCAUUGAAUAAUAUAUAGCUGCAACCCAACAAAUGAAACCUGUCGAACCGGAUAAAGGGUUUGUUGCAAACAAUAGUAUUAAGACGCAAUUGGAAGUAGAAGCAUUUAAGAAAAUUGUUGAGUCGGGUAAAGGCUUUUGUGAGAACAAUAAUAUUAAGAAGAAAUUGAAUGUGAGAACAAUAAUAUUAAGAAGAAAUUGAAGUAUUCAGUGGAUCAUCAAGUUGAUUGUUCAAUUGAAUCACAUGUCUCAAAAUUAAAGCAUCUAAGAAACAUUUUAUUUUGAACAGUAA